rnacentral:rRNA from 1 species
AGUAAAUAGAUACCCCGGUAGUCCACGCCGUAAACGAUGUCGACUUGGAGGUUGUGCCCUUGAGGCGUGGCUUCCGGAGCUAAACGCGUUAAAGUCGACCGCCUGGGGAGUACGGCCGCAAGGUUAAAACUCAAAUGAAUUGACGGGGGCCCGCACAAGCGGUGGAGCAUGUGGUUUAAUUCGAUGCAACGCGAAGAACCUUACCUACUCUUGACAUCCAGAGAACUUAGCAGAGAUGCUUUGGUGCCUUCGGGAACUCUGAGACAGGUGCUGCAUGGCUGUCGUCAGCUCGUGUUGUGAAAUGUUGGGUUAAGUCCCGCAACGAGCGCAACCCUUAUCCUUUGUUGCCAGCGGUCCGGCCGGGAACUCAAAGGAGACUGCCAGUGAUAAACUGGAGGAAGGUGGGGAUGACGUCAAGUCAUCAUGGCCCUUACGAGUAGGGCCACACACGUGCUACAAUGGCGCAUACAAAGAGAAGCGACCUCGCGAGAGCAAGCGGACCUCAUAAAGUGCGUCGUAGUCCGG